GUGCCAGCAGCCGCGGUAAUACAUAGGGGUCAAGCGUUGUCCGGAUUUAUUGGGCGUAAAGAGCUCGUAGGCGGUUCAACAAGUCGGUCGUAAAAGUUUAGGGCUCAACCCUAAAAUGUCGAUCGAUACUGUUGUGACUAGGAUACGGUAGAGGUGAAUGGAAUUCCGAGUGUAGCGGUGAAAUGCGUAGAUAUUCGGAGGAACACCAAUUGCGAAGGCAGCUCACUAGGCCUGGAUUGACGCUCAGGGACGAAAGCGUGGGGAUCAGACAGGAUUAGAUA
rnacentral:rRNA from 1 species